rnacentral:rRNA from 1 species
GAUGAACGCUGGCGGCGUGCUUAACACAUGCAAGUCGAACGAUGAAGCCCAGCUUGCUGGGUGGAUUAGUGGCGAACGGGUGAGUAACACGUGAGUAACCUGCCCUUAACUCUGGGAUAAGCCUGGGAAACUGGGUCUAAUACCGGAUAGGAGCGCCUACCGCAUGGUGGGUGUUGGAAAGAUUUAUCGGUUUUGGAUGGACUCGCGGCCUAUCAGCUUGUUGGUGAGGUAAUGGCUCACCAAGGCGACGACGGGUAGCCGGCCUGAGAGGGUGACCGGCCACACUGGGACUGAGACACGGCCCAGACUCCUACGGGAGGCAGCAGUGGGGAAUAUUGCACAAUGGGCGAAAGCCUGAUGCAGCGACGCCGCGUGAGGGAUGACGACCUUCGGGUUGUAAACCUCUUUCAGUAGGGAAGAAGCGAAAGUGAUGGUACCUGCAGAAGAAGCACCGGCUAACUACGUG